AGAGUUUGAUCAUGGCUCAGGAUGAACGCUAGCUACAGGCUUAACACAUGCAAGUCGAGGGGCAGCAUGUUGGUUGCUUGCAACCAACGAUGGCGACCGGCGCACGGGUGAGUAACGCGUAUCCAACCUACCCUUGUCCAUCGGAUAACCCGUCGAAAGGCGGCCUAACACGAUAUGCGGUUCACAGCAGGCAUCUAACGUGAACGAAAUGUAAAGGAGAAGGGAUGGGGAUGCGUCUGAUUAGCUUGUUGGCGGGGUAACGGCCACCAAGGCUACGAUCAGUAGGGGUUCUGAGAGGAAGGUCCCCCANAUUGGAACUGAGACACGGUCAAACUCCUACGGGAGGCA
rnacentral:rRNA from 1 species